rnacentral:rRNA from 1 species
CAGUCGCCGCGGUAAUACGGAGGGUGCAAGCGUUAUCCGGAUUUAUUGGGUUUAAAGGGUCCGUAGGCGGACUUAUAAGUCAGUGGUGAAAGCCUGUCGCUUAACGAUAGAACUGCCAUUGAUACUGUAAGUCUUGAGUAUAUUUGAGGUAGCUGGAAUAAGUAGUGUAGCGGUGAAAUGCAUAGAUAUUACUUAGAACACCAAUUGCGAAGGCAGGUUACCAAGAUAUAACUGACGCUGAGGGACGAAAGCGUGGGUAGCGAACAGGAUUAGAGACCCGUGUAGUCCCUGUCUCUUAUAC